CAUUUCCCUCUCUCAGCCAACAUGGCUCCUCUCUGACAGCUGCUUAAGAGGGAUACCACCUGGACCCGGGCCCCCCAACUACAAAGAGGAUCUACGGUUCAUCGAGCAACAGCUCACCAAUCCCACUCUCCAUAUACACUGGCCCACUUGAGCCUGGAUGAGCCCACAGAGCUCGUCGCUCUGCUCUGCUUCGCCCUGUGCUGGAGUGAAGCAGCCAGUCGCCACCACUUGAAUCCUCUGAGAAAGUCCGAGGUUAAAGCUGCAGGCACAAACUGUGUUGUACCGAGGGACCUUGUGUGCACAGUUUACCCUCUGCGCAGUGAAAACAGACCAGCCGGCUCCGGAGCCAGUGACUCCCACAGAGAGCAUCAGUACCACAGGACCACAUUCCCAUCGAUCUGUGUGGAGAACUCCAUCAAGCUCCCAGUAGGACACUACAGCAAAGUGAAAAUAAUCUACCGACUACAAAGUGCAACUAGGUUCAUUGCUUUGGCUCUCCACUCUCGUCAACCUGAUCUCCAGCAUCAGCAGCAGGCCUGCAGCUAAUUUCAGAGGAGGGCAACUUGAGUCACAUGACCUGACUCGAGUCAGGCUUGAAUCGCAAAUUUGAAGACUUGAGACUUAACUUAGACUUGAGACAGAUGACUCAAAAAGAACUUGAUUUAUUUUUGUGAAAUA